GGGCGACUUCGGGGUGGGGGGCUUCCGGCUAAGUGUGGAGUCUCGAUUCCUUACAAGAUUAGCCCCUCUACUAACUGCGCCAAGGUGAAUUGAUGGAUGGAAGCAGGGAAAUCAAGUCGAGGCUUAUAAAUGAUAUAAAUAAUGUUGGGUCAUGAGAUAUGUCUUUGUUUGGUUGAGUGAAUGCGAUGAGCCUAUUAUUGUAGUAUAGCUUUGCCUUGUCUGCAGCAUGAAUAAUGUUGGUGAUUGAUCGGAGAAGAAAUUUCUCCCUUCUGAGUAAUUUAAUUAUUACUGUGUUUUGAGGUAUC